UGGCGGACGGGUGAGUAACACGUGGGUAACCUACCUAUAAGACUGGGACAACUUCGGGAAACCGGAGCUAAUACCGGAUAAGAUAUCGAACCGCAUGGUUCGAUAGUGAAAGAUGGUUUUGCUAUCACUUAUAGAUGGACCCGCGCCGUAUUAGCUAGUUGGUGAGGUAACGGCUCACCAAGGCAACGAUACGUAGCCGACCUGAGAGGGUGAUCGGCCACACUGGAACUGAGACACGGUCCAGACUCCUACGGGAGGCAGCAGUC
rnacentral:rRNA from 1 species